AACGAUGCUCCGCCGCUUGUGCGGGCCCCCGUCAAUUCCUUUGAGUUUUAGCCUUGCGGCCGUACUCCCCAGGCGGGGUCACUUAAUGCGUUAGCUACGGCGCGGAAAACGUGGAAUGUUCCCCACACCUAGUGCCCAACGUUUACGGCAUGGACUACCAGGGUAUCUAAUCCUGUUCGCUCCCCAUGCUUUCGCUCCUCAGCGUCAGUAACAGCCCAGAGACCUGCCUUCGCCAUCGGUGUUCUUCCUGAUAUCUGCGCAUUUCACCGCUACACCAGGAAUUCCAGUCUCCCCUACUGCACUCUAGUCUACCCGUACCCACUGCACACCCGGAGUUAAGCCCCGGGCUUUCACAGCAGACGUGGCAAACYGCCUGCGAGCCCUUUACGCCCAAUAAUUCCGGAUAACGCUCGCGCCCUACGUAUUACCGBGGCUGCUGGCACGUAGUUAGCCGGCGCUUCUUCUGCAGGUACCGUCACAAAAAGCUUCUUCCCUGCUGAAAGCGGUUUACAACCCGAAGGCCGUCAUCCCGCACGCGGCGUCGCUGCAUCAGGCUUGCGCCCAUUGUGCAAUAUUCCCCACUGCUGCCUCCCGUAGGAGUSUGGGCCGUGUCUCAGUCCCAGUGUGGCCGGUCACCCUCUCAGGCCGGCUACCCGUCAUCGCCUUGGUGAGCCAUUACCUCACCAACAAACUGAUAGGCCGCGAGUCCAUCCAAGACCGAUAAAAUCUUUCCACCAGCACCCCAUGCGAGGACUGGUCGUAUCCGGUAUUAGACCCAGUUUCCCAGGCUUAUCCCAGAGUCAAGGGCAGGUUACUCCACGUGAUACUCACCCGUUCGCCAMUAAUAACGCCAGGUGCAAGCACCCAGCAUCAUCGUUCGACUGCAUGUGUAAGCACCCCCAUC
rnacentral:rRNA from 1 species